rnacentral:rRNA from 1 species
CAGGGAGCCGCCAGGCUCCCCCGAAGGCCCCGGAGACACCAUCCGGUCGAUAGGCCGCAGGUGCAGGCGCGGCGACGCGCACAGCCGGGCGGUACUAAUAGGCCGCGAGGCUUGGCCGC